AGAGGGUUGUUUUAUUGUCGCUGCUAACGAUGAUAUGGAUAUUUAGAUUAUCCGACCCUCUG
rnacentral:tRNA from 1 species